UGGGCCCCAACAGAUGACUCAGUUGGCUGUUAAUGAACGAUUUGGUCAAAGAUAGAAACAGACUAAAUGUGAGUUUGAGGAAGCCCUGAAGCCAGUUUCAAGUAUAUGGUGACAUCUCUCUGGUGGUCAGGUGGACCUGAUUUUUUUCUAUAUAGCAUUUCACACUUCCUGGUGGUGCUUGAAUGGAGGCAAGGAGUCAUACUGGGGAGAUAGAUGCAAGGGUUGCAAGUCCUGUCUAAAUCUCUUACUGUACAAACUUUGCCAUAUCUUCUUUACUCUUUGAGCCUCCUUGAUCUUCACCAUAUAAUGGUGGUAAUAAUAUGUACCUUUUAGGACUGAGUUAAAUGCACACAAAGUCAUUUUUCCCUCAGAUGGGCCAUAGGGUCCAUGAAGAGGUUAAAAUUAUACCUCCUUUCUUAACUUCCUUUCUGCUUACAACCAAAACUGUAUUGAAAUUGCCAGCCUGGUCCAUUCCAAGAUGGCCAAACAGGAACAGCUCUGGUCUGCAGCCCCCAGAGUGAUCAACGCAGAAAACAGGUGAUUUCUGCAUUUCCAGCUGAGCUUCCUGGUUCAUCUCACUGGGACUGGUUGGACAGUGGGUGCAGCCCAUGGAGAGUGAGCCAAAGCAGGGUGGGGCAUUGCUUCACCCAGGGAACACAAGGGGUCAGGGGAUUUCCCUUUCCUAGCCAAGGGAAGCCAUGACAGACGGUACCUGGAAAAUUGGGACACUGAUGCCCAAAUACUGCGCUUUUCCAAUGGUCUUAGCAAACAGCACACCAGGAGAUUAUGUCCCACAGCUGGCUUGGCAGAUCCCAUGCCCACAGAGCCUUGCUCACUGCUAGCACAGCAAUCUGAGAUCAAACUGUGAGGUGGCAGCCUGUUAGGGAGAGGGGCAUCUGUCAUUGCUGAGGCUUGAGUAGGUAAACGAAGUGGCCAGGAAGCUCGAACUGGAUGGAGCCUAUGGCAGCUCAACAGGGCCUGCUGCCUCUGUAGACUCCACCUCUGGGAGCAGGGCAUAGCUGAACAAAAGGCAGCAGAAACUUCUGCAGACUUAAACAUCCCUGUCUGACAGCACUGAAGACAGCAGUGGUUCUCCCAGCAUGGUGUUUGAGCUCUGAGAACGGACAAACUGCCUCCUCAAGUAGGUCCCUAAACCCCGU
rnacentral:lncRNA from 1 species